ACCAGAUGUAGGCGUCACGGUCCGCCAUAUCCCUAGAUUUGGUGGCUAAGAGGGAAGUCGGUGAACUACGGGUAGACCCGUAAAAAUCCGGCGCUGCCCCCGCAACUGUAAGCAGUGAGUUGUUCCCGCCCUGUUAAGUCACUGAUGCGACACCGCAUUGGGAAGACGAGGGAGCAACAGCGACCUGCAAGCCAGGAGACCUGCCGGGACACCGAAUCUACG
rnacentral:ncRNA from 2 species